rnacentral:lncRNA from 1 species
ACCACCACUGUUGUGCAGCAGUUUUCCUCUCCGUCUCUCUCUCUCUUAUCUUCAUUUAUAAAAACAACGGACAUCAAGGCUUCCUCCCCGAACUCGCACAGGCUCCCCCUCUGAGCCACUCGCUCACUCACAUCUCCAAUAGCAAUCUCUCUCUUCCAUAUCGACCUAAAACUCUCUCUCUCUCUCUCUCUCUCUCUCUCUCUCUNNN